UGGAACCAGUGUCUCGGUAUCUGUAUUC
rnacentral:piRNA from 1 species